rnacentral:rRNA from 2 species
UGGCGGACGGGUGAGUAAUGUCUGGGAAACUGCCUGAUGGAGGGGGAUAACUACUGGAAACGGUAGCUAAUACCGCAUAACGUCGCAAGACCAAAGAGGGGGACCUUCGGGCCUCUUGCCAUCGGAUGCGCCCAGAUGGGAUUAGCUAGUAGGUGGGGUAACGGCUCACCUAGGCGACGAUCCCUAGCUGGUCUGAGAGGAUGACCAGCCACACUGGAACUGAGACACGGUCCAG